rnacentral:rRNA from 1 species
ACGGGAGGCAGCAGUGGGGAAUAUUGGGCAAUGGAGGAAACUCUGACCCAGCAACGCCGCGUGAAUGAUGAAGGUCUUCGGAUUGUAAAGUUCUUUUCUAAGGGACGAAGAAAGUGACGGUACCUUAGGAAUAAGCCUCGGCUAACUACGUGCCAGCAGCCGCGGUAAUACGUAGGAGGCAAGCGUUAUCCGGAAUGACUGGGCGUAAAGGGUGCGUAGGUGGUUCAGCAAGUUGGCAGCGUAACUCCGGGGCUCAACCUCGGCACUACUGCCAAAACUGUCGAACUUGAGUGCAGGAGGGGCAAUCGGAAUUCCUAGUGUAGCGGUGGAAUGCGUAGAUAUUAGGAGGAACACCAGUGGCGAAGGCGGAUUGCUGGACUGUAACUGACACUGAGGCACGAAAGCGUGGGGAGCAAACAGGAUUAGAUACCCUGGUA